GACGAACGCUGGCGGCGUGCUUAACACAUGCAAGUCGAACGGAAAGGCCCUGCUUUUGUGGGUUGCUCGAUUGGCGAACGGGGGAGUAACACGUGAGUAACCUGCCCUUGACUUUGUGAUAACUUCAGGAAACUGGGGCGAAUAUCGGAUAUGAUCUCCUGCUGCAUGGUGGGGGAUGGAAAGUUUCGGCGGUUGGGGAUAGUCUCGCUGCUUAUCAGCUUGAUGGUGUGGUAGUUGCUUACCAAGGCUUUGACGGGUAGCCGGCCUGAGAGGGUGACCGGCCACAUUGGGACUGCGGUACGGACCAGACUGCUACGGGAGGCAGCAGUGGAGAGUAUUGCGGAAUGAGGGGACGCCUGAUACAGCAACGCCGCGUGCGGGAUGACGGCCUUCGAGUUGUAAACAGCUUUCGAAUGUGACGAAGCGUGAGUGACGGUAAUGGGUAAAGAAGCAACGGCUAACUACGUG
rnacentral:rRNA from 1 species